rnacentral:rRNA from 1 species
GACGAACGCUGGCGGCGUGCUUAACACACGCAAGUCGAACGGAAAGGCCCUGCUUUUGUGGGGUGCUCGAGUGGCGAACGGGUGAGUAACACGUGAGUAACCUGCCCUUGACUUUGGGAUAACUUCAGGAAACUGGGGCUAAUACCGGAUAGGAGCUCCUGCUGCAUGGUGGGGGUUGGAAAGUUUCGGCGGUUGGGGAUGGACUCGCGGCUUAUCAGCUUGUUGGUGGGGUAGUGGCUUACCAAGGCUUUGACGGGUAGCCGGCCUGAGAGGGUGACCGGCCACAUUGGGACUGAGAUACGGCCCAGACUCCUACGGGAGGCAGCAGUGGGGAAUAUUGCACAAUGGGCGGAAGCCCGAUGCAGCAACGCCGCGUGCGGGAUGACGGCCUUCGGGUUGUAAACCGCUUUCGCCUGUGACGAAGCGUGAGUGACGGUAAUGGGUAAAGAAGCACCGGCUAACUACGUG